ACGUAGGAUGCAAGCGUUGUCCGGAUUUACUGGGCGUAAAGCGCGCGCAGGCGGCUUUACAAGUAUGGCGUGAAAUCUCCCUGCUCAACGGGGAGGGUGCGUUGUAGACUGUAAGGCUUGAGGACGGUAGAGGGGGGUAGAAUUGCUGGUGUAGCGGUGAAAUGCGUAGAGAUCAGCAGGAAUACCCGUGGCGAAGGCGGCCCCCUGGGCCGUACCUGACGCUGAGGCGCGAAGGCUAGGGGAGCGACCCGGAUUAGAUACCCGGUUAGUCCUAGCAGUAAACGAUGGCUACUAGGUGUGGGGGGUGUUGACCCCUCCUGUGCCGAAGCUAACGCAUUAAGUAGCCCGCCUGGGGAGUACGGUCGCAAGACUA
rnacentral:rRNA from 1 species